rfam:Gaeumannomyces graminis var. tritici R3-111a-1 unplaced genomic scaffold supercont2.5, whole genome shotgun sequence.
GCCCGCUUGGCUUAGUGGUAAAGCGUAUCACUAGUAGCGAAGGAAACUUCCGCAUUGGUGUAUGAUAAGAUCGUCAGUUCGAUUCUGACAGUGGGCA